CCCUUGUCUCAUUCCGAGAUUGUGUGCUGAGGGUUUUCAACUGCAUCUCUAAAGGGAAGGCCAAAGAAAGAGCAACAGGAAAGGAUGGCACACAGAGCACUGCAUUAUCUGUCAUUUUCAUUAGAUUCAAGCUACAGCUGGGCCAAAAAGACUUAGUUCUAGCAUAUGUGCUCAAAAUGGCCAAGCUGCGAUUGUCCAAAUUCACCCUUUCAAGAUUGCAUUACUGAACAACUGGAGCCAAAGCUAGAAAUUGGAGAGAGCAAAGCGCCUGAAUUCCACUUGGAAAAUGGCAAACACCAUAGGCUCUGAAGAUUGAAGCGUAUUAUCAUGACUAACUCAAAGGGUCAGAGGAGACACUGGCUUCCACCAGCAAGCUCAACGUCUUUUGGCACAUCUGAGGUGGGGAUGGAAGCUGCAAGAGCCUAGAUUUUGACACCACUUAACAAAGAAAAGCCAAUGUCUUUCAUUCCCCUCUGUGCCUUUCAGUAUACCUUGGCCAUGUGGAAUGCAAUAGGUUCUGUACCCAGGUCUUGACCUGGGCCAGCUGGUCUUGAGCCCCGUAGGACGUAGUCUGUGGCCUGCUGCAUACUUGGAUAGUGUGGGGUGUAUAAAAAGCAACUCAUCCUGAGGGAGAAAAGCAUCCAACUGUCAUAAGCUUGAGUCUCCAUGCAAGUCUCCACUAUUUUAUAAAUUCAGUUCUUUAUGUGAACAUGCGAAGAAGACAUAUUGAAAAAUUAGCCCCACAAAGAAAUAAAUACAAAAAUCCCCACUCCAGGUUGCUGGAAAUGGGAGAACCACAGGGCUGGGGAAGAUGGUCACUCCACCCAGUGGACUUCAUGUUAUUUGAAGCAGACAUUGAAAAAAAAAAGAGAGAGAGAGAGAGAGACUAGUUGUUCAAGCAGAGAAAAAGAAAGUAAAAAGGCCAGUGGGAAUGUAAAAUAGUGCAGCCACUGUGGAAACAGUACAGGGGUUCCUCAAAAUAUUAAACAUAGAAUAACCAUAUGACCCAGCAACUCCGCUAUUGGGUCUAUACCCUGAAGAAUUGAAGAGAUACUUGUACACCCAUGUUCAUAGCAGCAUUAUUCACAAUAACCAAAGUGGAAGCAACUCAAGUGUUCAUUGGUAGAUGAAUAAAUGAAUAAAUAGGCAAAAUGCCAUAGAGACAAAGUAGAACAGCACUCCCAAGGGCUGAGAAGAAGGGGGAAUGGAGAAUUACUGUUUAAUUCAGGGUUACUGGUACAGGGUUCCAGCUGGGGAAGAUGAAAGGAUUCUGGAGAUGGAUGGCAGUAAUGAUUAUACAACAAUAUGAAUGCACUUAAUACCACUGAGUUGUACACUUAAAAAUGGUUAAAAUGGCAAAUUUCUUAUUAUGUGUGUUCUACCACAAUGAAAAAAAAGGAGGUUUGUGUCUGGUCCUGGAGACACAGACUCCCUGAGUCUGUGCCGCAGCAACACCGAGCAAUGCUGUGAUCUUCCAGAAUGCCAGUAAGGGUGAGCCCUUGGCCAUGUGUC
rnacentral:lncRNA from 10 species